ACUGCCCUUCUCUCUGUUGGAAGUGAUGCACUGUACAGCCAAGGACCUCAGGCAGGGAACAGCAGCAUCCACAGGUGAUGAGGAGAGCAAGGAAGAUUCUUUAAGAUUGUGCAUCAUCUAAUUAGUAAACAUAAUGUUUUUUGUGUUUUUUUUUUAAAGGCUGCUCCUUGAAGCUGAAGGCCAUUGCCUUAUAUCUCAGGCAUUUUUCCCAUACUAAGCCAAUAGAGCAUCAAUAUAUCAAUAACAUCUGUUAUUUAAGUUCCCCUCUUCAUAAUAGUUAAAGAAAUGCUUAAAUAUUAAGUAACAUUUUAAUUU